UACGUAGGGGCCUAGCGUUGUCCGGAUUUAUUGGGCGUAAAGAGCUCGUAGGCGGUUCGGUAAGUCAGGUGUGAAAUCUCCACGCUCAACGUGGAGGCGCCACCUGAAACUGCCGUGACUCGAGUCCGGUAGGGGAGUGUGGAAUUCCCGGUGUAGCGGUGAAAUGCGUAGAGAUAUGGAGGAACACCAGUGGCGAAGGCGGCUACCUGGUCUGUGAUUGACGCUGAGGCGCGAAAGCGUGGGGAGCAAACAGG
rnacentral:rRNA from 1 species